CGGGGGGGGCAAGCGUUGUUCGGAAUUACUGGGCGUAAAGGGCUCGUAGGCGGCCAACUAAGUCAGACGUGAAAUCCCCAGGCUCAACCUGGGAACUGCGUCUGAUACUGGAUGGCUUGAAUUCGGGAGAGGGAUGCAGAAUUCCAGGUGUAGCGGUGAAAAGCGUAGAUAUCUGGAGGAAUACCGGUGGCGAAGGCGGCAUCCUGGACUGACAUUGACGCUGAGGAGCGAAAGCUAGGGGAGCAAACGGGAUUAGAUACCCCGGUAGUCCUAGCCCUAAACGAUGAAUGCUUGGUGUAACGGGUAUCGAUCCCUGUUGUGCCGAAGCUAACGCAUUAAGCAUUCCGCCUGGGGAGUACGGUCGCAAGGCUG
rnacentral:rRNA from 1 species